CCGCCCGCCGCUUUCCUCCCUCCCCGGGCGGGUGGCAGCGCACAGUGUGCCCAUGGCAACCCCUCUGCGGCGUCGGGCGCGGCGAGGAGGAGGAGGAAGGUCCGCUGAAGGAGUCAGGCUCCCGGUCAGGGUGGCGGCUCCCGGCCGCGCUGCUCUGAGGGGCCGCCAUGCCGCCGCGCCGCCUCCCCCUCCGGCCGGUAGAGAAGCUGAGGCACUAAUACCUUAAGACCUACAUUUUCAUGCUUGACUUGCAAAGCAGCAGCCCAGCUCUUCACGAGUUCUAACAGCGUGAAAUCUAAUGAAACAGUGCUUGUGCGUUUUGGUGACGAUGACUACCCCAGAAGCUGUUAAGAAGAAGCGAAAUUAUACCAGUGUACAUGAGGCAGUGAGAGCUGGUGAUGUAGAACAGCUUGCGUCAAUGAUAAAAAGUGGAGCUGAUAUUAAUGAGGUGGAUUUAACCCACAAAUUCACACCGUUGCACUGCGCUGCACACUCUGGAAGCCUGGAGUGCCUUCACUGGUUGCUCUGGCACGGAGCUGACACCACACGUGUCACCGCGGGAGGCUGGACAGCCGCUCAUCUCGCGGCCAUCCGAGGGCAGGACGCUUGCAUGCAGGCUUUGUUAGUAAAAGGAGCAAACGCAGAAACUCAGGAUGACGGUGGGUGCACCCCAUCCCACUUGGCUGCGGCCCAUGGGCAGUCGUACACCUUACAAACCAUACUGAGAACUGGAGUGAAUGUAAAUGUUUCAGACAGGAAUGACUGGAAACCUGUUCAUUAUGCUGCUUUUCAUGGUCGCUUGGGGUGUUUGCAGCUUCUUGUUAGAUGGGGAGCGUGUGUAGAUGAUGUGGAUAACAAUGGAAACCUUCCAGCUCACCUGGCAGCCAUGGAAGGACACUUGCAUUGCUUCAAGUUCUUGGUCAGUAAAAUGGGCAGUGUCCCACGUACGCUGAAAGCCAGGAACGACCAUGGAGAGACUCCAAGGGACUUGGCUGAACGGUUCUUUAAAGAUAAUAUCCUGCAAUAUAUUGAUGAUGUGGAAAAAGAGGGGGAGCAGCCAGAGACACAGGAAGUUUUAGCUUUCCCAGCUCAUGGCGCUGCUUUCAAAGGGGACUUGUUAGUGCUGAGAAAAUUAGUGAGAAGUGGAGUAAUCAAUAUUAAUGAGCGGGAUGAUAAGGGAUCCACUCUCAUGCACAAAGCUGCCGGACAGGGGCACAUCCAUUGCUUGCAGUGGUUGAUUGACAUGGGAGCCGACUGUGGCAUUACAGAUGAUGCUGGAGAGACGCCAAGGGAUGUAGCCAAGAGAUUUGCUCAGCCGGCAGCUGUGGAACUUUUGACACAAAGAACAGGAGACAGUAACUCCAGCGACGAAGAACUGGAUGCAAACAGCAUAAAGUUUUUUGAAAGACACGGUGUGGAAGGGAGUACAGACAGCAAAGAAGAUUUAACCCUGGAUAAAGCAGAGAAAAGGAAUGCACGCAUAAGGGCCUAUCGCAAGAUUCAAGAACUUCAGCAACUUCUAGAAAUUGCCUACAGCAACUACAGACAGCUGGGAGGAAUAACUGAGGAGGAGAAGAAGAAGAAAAAAGAAGAAAGGGAAGCUGAGAAGUAAGGUCAACACACCCUGUUUUAACUUUGUGAGGCCCAUUUUAAAGCCUUCUUUAAGGCUAACUUAGAUUUCAGUUGUUUUAGCCAUUCUGUCCUUUCCACUUACCACCUGUAGCCAAGCCAAAAAAACCCAGACUUCAGGAACUGGGCCAUUUCUAGACUUCUACCACCAGGAUCAGCGCCACAGCACAAGACAAGUGUUCGAUGGGUCCACACCUCCUGUGCAAAAUGAUCUAUUUGGCCUUCAGGUUUUCCUGCAGCAUAUGUGCAGUAGGUCUGAAAAUUCCUGGCUGUUUUGUUUGCAUUGAGGGUCCCAAAUACAUUUAUGCACUUUCGUAAAUCUGAAAAAAAGCAGUCUUAGCAUUACUUGGGUGGAAGUACAUAUAUAGUAGAAAUUAUUCAAUGACCUGCUACAUUUCUGUGUCAAGUGCAAUAUAUUUCUUUGCUCAAGAAAGCAUUAGCUCAUAUCCAGAACACAGAAAAAAGAAAUCUCAGCAAACCUACCCUUGCAUGUGAAGCACUUUUCAUAGUGUCUGUCCAGUUCUCUGGGUCUCCAUUAAAUGAAAGGGCUCUGUUUGAUCAGGUGAUUUGAUGGGCAAACUAAGUUUGAAGAAAAGCUCUUCUGUCUAUCAAAGAUUGAGAGGUUAAACAAGAAUGCAGCAACAAAAUGACAGCCCUGUCUCCACCUCUACCUGUCAAAGAUUUGGCUACCCACUCUUCUCAGUCUCUCUAGAUAACCACGGCCAUUAUAUCUUUGGGCCACCACAAACCAAUGUCUUUAUUUGGUCACUGGGAGGAGACUCUAUCCCGAGGGCUUCUAUGCCAUCAGGAAGACAUCAGGCUUACCAGUCUGUGUAGAUCUAGAGCAGGUAAUAGGUGUCACAGCCUGGAGUUAAGUAGUUCAUUUUACAACCCCAUAUGAGCCAAGAAACUGAGGUCAGGCUUACUUUUAGUUACAGGUCACCCUUUGACUCAGCCUAGGCUGAAAGUCAGUCUUCCUUAACUUGAUAUGUCUGCACUGUAGGUACCCGCAUCUGAUAAGCAGAUCUGCAAUGCAGAUGUCUGCAUACCUUGAGCUCCUUUAUAGACUCCUUGGGGAGAUGUAGCUACUUUCAGGACAUAAUUAGAUGUGUACUUCAGGAUGAGGUUCAUCACUUCUAGGAGGGUCUCUCCUGGCUUUCAGGGAGGAGAGUGACCAGCUCAGAUGUUGGUGCCUGUGUUGGAAGGUCAGAGCAAUUUGUUUGCAAUUGUCAAAAAGUCGUUGUUGCUUAAUGGCAGAAAUUCAAGUUCAUUUUGGAUACAGCAGCUAUCCAAAAGCUAGCAGUGUCUACUAGAGGGCCCUGAUAAGGCUUUUUAAGGGAUUUUGCUUUCGUAGAAUCAUUUCAGUUGGAAGAGACCCUCAGGAUCAUUGACUUCAACAAUAACCUAAUUCUAGCACUAAACCAUGUCCCUAAGAACCUCUUCUACACUCCUUUUAAACCUCUCCAGCGAUGGUGACCCCACCACUGCCCUGGGCAGCCUGUUCCAAUGACUGACAACCCUUUCUGUGAAUACAUUUUUCCUAAUAUCCAAUCUAAGCCUCUCCUGAUGCAACUUGAGGCCAACACCCUCCGUGCUACAACCUCCUUUCAGGAGGUUCUGUGGCAUGUGUGGUUAAGCUAGAAAAAUCGUGAGGAUCUCUGAACGGUUCUCCCUCAUCUCCAGAGGCCAGAGAGGAUCUCUAGCUCCACACCGGCCUUUUGAAAUGGAAAUACCCCUUCUCAGGGUACCUACCUAUGGAUAAACUCCAAGAUGCUUGUAUCAUAUGCCAGAAAACUCUCAUUAUUUAAAAACAUUUAUUGACAACAACAUUGUGCUAGAUGAAAAGCAGGAAUUUCCAUUUGGGAAAGCCACUGUAGCAGGUUUUGGAGAUUUCUCCUUUAGUCCAGGUUUUCCGGCUGUAAGGCCGGGUGUGAACCACUGCGCAGUGCUUUCGUUAGGCUGCGUUGCAUGGAUAAAAUUAGCACUGUGUGCCAAAUAAUUUUGCAGCUAUAUCUCAUUAAUCUGAAGUGUGCAAGUAGCCAGCCUGUCCACCCGAGCACCGAGUUCCCUGCAUGAGCACGGGCCAUUUGUACGGUGUCAGGAAGGCUGAUACAGCCUCGUGGCUUUGGGCUGCAUGAAUCAGAGAAUGUCCUGACUUGGAAGGUACCCACAAGGAUCAUUGAGUCCAACUCCUGUCCCUGCACAGGACAACCCCAAUAUUCACGCCAUGUAUGUGAGAAUGUUGUCCAGUCUCUUCUUGAACACUGUCAGGCUUGGGGCCGUGACACCUCCCUGGGGAGCCUGUUCAGUGUCCAGCACCCUCUGGGGGAAGAACCUUUUCCUCAUGUCCAACCUAAACCUCCCCUGGCACAUCUUCCUGCCAUUCCCUCGGGUUCUGUCACUGGUCACCAGAGAGAAGAGCUCAGCCCUGCCCCUCCUCCUCUCCUUGUGAGGAAGCUGUAGCUGCCAUGAGCUCUCCCCUCAGUCUCCUCCAGGCUGAACAAACCCCGUGACUUUAGCUGCUUCUCAUACAGUUUACCCUCCAAAACCUUAAUCAAGGGUUGGCAAUAUUUCAGUCCAGGAAAUGCGGUAGCUCUUGCUGAGAGCUUUCCUGCUGUGCUGUUUGAAUCCACAGGGCAGAUGUCUCCCUUUUCCUUUUACCAAUCUUCCAUCUUUGUAGCUGCACUAAUUCAUCCUGAUACAGAGGAGAGCCAGCUCAACUCCAGAUGACUCAGUUGUUGCGGUCAAUUGCUGUUAUAAUAAGAAUACAUGUGAAUUAUGUCUCAGCUAACCAGUUCCAGGAAUCUCAGUUAAUUUGGGAGCUGUUGUGGGUGUGACAGAUCAGGUCUUGUGCAAGUGUGUAUCAGCCAGCGCUUCAGUUUCCCUUUCGUAAGUGUCAUGCAGGCUGUCACUUGAGCAUUCCUCAUCUGUGGCUAAGCCAAUCAAUAGGAAGGAUGUAGAGGUACCAUAUGUUAAUGAAAAAGCUGCCUCUGACCACUCCAGAGUCUUGGUUUUGUGCUUUUUUUCUGUUUCAUACUAACCUUUUUGCUCCUCUGGCAUGUCUGCCUCCUCUGCAGCUGGAGCAACAGCCUACCCAAGAGCUUCGUACUGUUCGGGGUGUGGGAAGACAUCUCCAUCUCGUGGCCAGAUUGCGCUGAGCACGAAGGAGGAAAAACAGCUCUCCAGAGCUGCUAGCAGGGGUCUGGAGCCAGGAGCACGCUGCAGCUCACACCACUGAGUUCUAAGCUGCUUUCAGCUGGGACUAAGGGCUGUGAGGGAGCUGGAGGCCCAGCUGGAAGAGGAGCGAGUCAGGCGGGAGAAGCUGGAGAGCCAGCUGGAUGAGUACCGCGCCGAGAUCAGCCGCCUGAGAGACAGCCUGGCGAAAACCCGCGGC